rnacentral:lncRNA from 1 species
CUCAGCUUCACCUCUCUUCAGUCACUGAGCUGUGGCUACACAGUGUACCUGGAUAUGAUUCCACCAGAUUCUAAGUGAGAAACACAUGAUGCUCACAUGGACACAGAUCCUCCUUCUGUUGUGCAGACUGGCCAAGGACUCACACUAUCCUGGUCUUAGCCUCAUAAGUGAUUAAGGGAUUUCUCCAUCUUUCAAAAUAUGGUCUCUACACUGGUGCCAGGACUAGAAUGUGCAAUUAGAAGCACAGGAAGAUGAAGUUUGGUGAACCUCUUACUUAAAAGAUAUCUCAUCUCCCCUUUCCACACAACUGAAGCAACCUAAUCCACUUCAUUCAUUUUACAUUUAGAAUUACAUUUUAGAAUUGCACAUUUUCUUGGGUCAACACGUGUCAAGGAUUUAGCCCUAUGGGCCCUGAAAUAGACACUAUCUUUUUC